AAGUCGUAACAAGGUUUCCGUAGGUGAACCUGCGGAAGGAUCAUUAACACUUUGUUAACCCAAUAUCAACCAAAUGUGAACUGUAACGUCCCUAUUCACUGUUGUAAGAUACUUCGGUGUAUUAUAGCAGUGCGAUAGACAAUACCCUCUUAGUAGUUGUCACAAACUAAGGCCUCCAUACCUCUCCUUUGUGAUGAUGAACUAUUAACCAAUUUUAACCCUAAAACAUACGAAUUGUCUAAUCUUCAUGAACUUAAUGACUGCUUCGGUGGUUAAUAAGAUUUACGAAAUAUUGAACAACUCUUAGCAAUGGAUAUCUUGGGUCAU
rnacentral:misc_RNA from 1 species